rnacentral:rRNA from 1 species
GACGAACGCUGGCGGCGUGCCUAAUACAUGCAAGUCGAACGCAGUGGGGACGGGUGAGUAACACGUGGGUAACCUCCCAUCAGAGGGGAUAACACUUGGAAACAGGUGCUAAACCGAUACUGAUGGAUGGACCCGAGGUGCAUUAGCUAGUUGGUGAGGUAACGGCUCACCAAGGCCACGAUGCAUAGCCGAUGUGAGAGGGUGAUCGGACACACUGGGACUGAGACACGGCCCAGACUCCUACGGGAGGCAGCAGUAGGGAAUAUUCGGCAAUGGACGAAAGCCUGACCGAGCAACGCCGCGUGAGUGAAGAAGGUUUUCGGAUCGUAAAGCUCUGUUGGUAGAGAAGCGUUAUCUAACCAGAAAGCCACGGCUAACUACGUGCCAGCAGCCGCGGUAAUUC